UACAGAGGUCUCAAGCGUUGUUCGGAUUCAUUGGGCGUAAAGGGUGCGUAGGUGGCAUGGUAAGUCGGAUGUGAAAUCCCGGGGCUCAACCCUGGAACUGCAUUCGAUACUGCUGAGCUAGAGUACUGGAGAGGAGAUUGGAAUUUACGGUGUAGCAGUGAAAUGCGUAGAUAUCGUAAGGAAGACCAGUGGCGAAGGCGGAUCUCUGGACAGUUACUGACACUGAGGCACGAAGGCCAGGGGAGCAAACGGG
rnacentral:rRNA from 1 species